UGCGUAGGCGGCGCGGAAAGUUGGGUGUGAAAUCCCUCGGCUCAACCGAGGAAUUGCGCCCAAAACUUCCGUGCUCGAGGAAGAUAGAGGUGAGCGGAACUUAGGGUGGAGCGGUGAAAUGCGUUGAUAUCCUAAGGAACACCGGUGGCGAAAGCGGCUCACUGGAUCUUUUCUGACGCUGAGGCACGAAAGCUAGGGUAGCGAACG
rnacentral:rRNA from 1 species